AACGAACGCUGGCGGCAGGCUUAACACAUGCAAGUCGAGCGCCCCGCAAGGGGAGCGGCAGACGGGUGAGUAACGCGUGGGAAUCUACCCAUCUCUACGGAAUAACGCAUGGAAACGUGUGCUAAUACCGUAUACGUCCUUCGGGAGAAAGAUUUAUCGGAGACGGAUGAGCCCGCGUUGGAUUAGCUAGUUGGUGGGGUAAAGGCCUACCAAGGCGACGAUCCAUAGCUGGUCUGAGAGGAUGAUCAGCCACACUGGGACUGAGACACGGCCCAGACUCCUACGGGAGGCAGCAGUGGGGAAUAUUGGACAAUGGGCGCAAGCCUGAUCCAGCCAUGCCGCGUGAGUGAUGAAGGCCCUAGGGUUGUAAAGCUCUUUCACCGGUGAAGAUAAUGACGGUAACCGGAGAAGAAGCCCCGGCUAACUUCGUGCAGCCGCCGCAGUAACAC
rnacentral:rRNA from 1 species